rnacentral:rRNA from 1 species
UACGUAGGUGGCAAGCGUUGUCCGGAAUUAUUGGGCGUAAAGCGCGCGCAGGCGGUCCUUUAAGUCUGAUGUGAAAGCCCACGGCUCAACCGUGGAGGGUCAUUGGAAACUGGGGGACUUGAGUGCAGGAGAGAAGAGUGGAAUUCCACGUGUAGCGGUGAAAUGCGUAGAGAUGUGGAGGAACACCAGUGGCGAAGGCGACUCUUGGCCUGUAGCUGACGCUGAGGCGCGAAAGCGUGGGGAGCAAACAGG